rnacentral:rRNA from 1 species
GAUCAUGCUCAGGAUGAACGCUAGCUACAGGCUUAACACAUGCAAGUCGAGGGGAAACGACAUCGAAAGCUUGCUUUUGAUGGGCGUCGACCGGCGCACGGGUGAGUAACGUGUAUCCAACCUGCCCAUCACUUGGGAAUAACCUUGCGAAAGUAAGACUAAUGCCCAAUGACAUCCCACGAAGGCAUCCGAAUGGGAUUAAAGAUUUAUCGGUGAUGGAUGGGGAUGCGU